AUUGAACGCUGGCGGCAGGCCUAACACAUGCAAGUCGAACGAGUGGCGGACGGGUGAGUAAUGUCUGGGCAACUGCCCGAUGGAGGGGGAUAACUACUGGACACGGUAGCCAAUACCGCAUACCAUCGGAUGAGCCCAUAUGGGAUUAGCUUGUAGGUGCGGUAAUGGCUAACCUAGGCGACUAUCCCUAGCUGGUCUGAGAGGAUGACCAGCCACACUGGAACUGCGACACAGACCAGACUCCUACGUUAGGCAGCAGUGGGGAAUAUUGCACAAUGGGCGCAAGUAUGAUGCUGCCAUGCCGCGUGUAUGAAGCAGGCCUUCGGGUUGUAAAGUACUUUCAGCGGGGAGGCGUUACCCGCAGAAGAAGCACCGGCUAACUCCGUGCCAGCAGCCGCGGUAAUUC
rnacentral:rRNA from 1 species